ensembl:lncRNA
GCCCAACCCAAGGCCCCAGCCCCUACGCUGUGCAGGGCGGUCCCAGAGAGGUAGAUGCGGGGAAAAGGAGGCCAGGCUCCUCAGGCCAAAAUACCACGGCCUAGGUGUCCAGCGUGGCAGACCCCUGGGUGCCCGUUCUGUCCCACUGUUGACAAAGCCCCCCACCCCAGGUCCCUGAAGGCCAGGUGUGGCCCCUUCCCAGGAAGAGGCUUCAGAGUUUUCCUGCCUUAACUUGGUCAUUCAAACACCCUCUCUGACACCUGUGGGAACUGAGGCCUCGGAGGAGCUCUUCCCAGCUCAGCAGCUGAACGCAGCUGAACGCAGCUGAGGAAAGCCAUCCGCACAGGAGGAACAAGACUCACAGCCUGGGAGUUUCAGCCAAAGCUCCGAUUCCAUGGCUCACGUGCCUGCUUGAGUCCCGUCCUCUGCCUGGGCCUCAGUUUCCCCUUGGACACAAUGGAGAUCUUCCUGACCCAGGGAUCGAACCCAUGUCUCCAGCAUGGCAGGCAGAUUCGUUACCGCUGAGCCACCCGGGAAGCCCAUACCUCCU